rnacentral:rRNA from 1 species
GACGAACGCUGGCGGCGUGCUUAACACAUGCAAGUCGAACGAAGAGCGACGGAAGCUUGCUUCUAUCAAUCUUAGUGGCGAACGGGUGAGUAACGCGUAAUCAACCUGCCCUUCAGAGGGGGACAACAGUUGGAAACGACUGCUAAUACCGCAUACGAUCUAACCUCGGCAUCGAGGAUAGAUGAAAGGUGGCCUCUACAUGUAAGCUAUCACUGAAGGAGGGGAUUGCGUCUGAUUAGCUAGUUGGAGGGGUAACGGCCCACCAAGGCGACGAUCAGUAGCCGGUCUGAGAGGAUGAACGGCCACAUUGGGACUGAGACACGGCCCAGACUCCUACGGGAGGCAGCAGUGGGGAAUCUUCCGCAAUGGACGAAAGUCUGACGGAGCAACGCCGCGUGAGUGAUGACGGCCUUCGGGUUGUAAAGCUCUGUUAAUCGGGACGAAAGGCCUUCUUGCGAAUAGUGAGAAGGAUUGACGGUACCGGAAUAGAAAGCCACGGCUAACUACGUG